rnacentral:misc_RNA from 1 species
AGUCAUCAACCCCUACCGUUUAGUGCGGUUGCGGGUUGGAUCUGGGGGCCUGCUGCCGAGAGGCGGCUCCCCUCAAAUGGAUCGGUUGGGCCUGUGGGUCGGACUCGAUUGGGUGUUGUAUUAUCCUCGCUCUAACGAGAAGUUCCCCUUGCUUGUGCCCCUCCACGACCUGCCUAUUGAGUGGCGGUCAAACCAACUUUGAAA